rnacentral:rRNA from 1 species
AGAGCGAACGCUGGCGGCAGGCUUAACACAUGCAAGUCGAGCGGGCGUAGCAAUACGUCAGCGGCAGACGGGUGAGUAACGCGUGGGAACAUACCUUUGGUUCGGAACAACCCAGGGAAACUUGUGCUAAUACCGGAUAAGCCCUUACGGGGAAAGAUUUAUCGCCGAAAGAUCGGCCCGCGUCUGAUUAGCUAGUUGGUGAGGUAAUGGCUCACCAAGGCGACGAUCAGUAGCUGGUCUGAGAGGAUGAUCAGCCACAUUGGGACUGAGACACGGCCCAAAACUCCUACGGGAGGCAGCAGUGGGGAAUAUUGGACAAUGGGCGCAAGCCUGAUCCAGCCAUGCCGCGUGAGUGAUGAAGGCCCUAGGGUUGUAAAGCUCUUUUGUGCGGGAAGAUAAUGACGGUACCGCAAGAAUAAGCCCCGGCUAACUUCGCGCCAGCAGCCGC